rnacentral:rRNA from 1 species
GACGAACGCUGGCGGCGUGCCUAAUACAUGCAAGUCGAACGCAGUGGGGACGGGUGAGUAACACGUGGGUAACCUCCCAUCAGAGGGGAUAACACUUGGAAACCGGUGCUAAACCGAUACGGAUAGAUGAACCCGCGGUGCAUUAGCUAGUUGGGGAGGUAACGGCUCACCAAGGCCACGUUGCAUAGCUGGCCUGAUAGGGUGAUGAGCCACACGGGGACUGAGACACGGCCCAGACUCCUACGGGAGGCAGCAGUGGGGAAUAUUGGGCAAUGGACGAAAGUCUGAUGGAGCAACGCCGCGUGUGUGAAGAAGGUUUUCGGAUCGUAAAGCUCUGUUGUUAGAGAAGCGGUAUCUAACCAGGAAGCAACGGCUAACUACGUGCCAGCAGCCGCGGUAAUUC